rnacentral:rRNA from 1 species
CUACGGGGGGCAGCAGUGGGGAAUAUUGCGCAAUGGGCGAAAGCCUGACGCAGCGACGCCGCGUGAGGGAAGAAGGCCUUCGGGUCGUAAACCUCUGUCAGGAGGGAAGAAACGCACGGGGAGGAAAUGCUCUGUGCCUGACGGUACCUCCAGAGGAAGCACCGGCCAACUCCGUGCCAGCAGCCGCGGUAAUACGGAGGGUGCGAGCGUUAAUCGGAAUUACUGGGCGUAAAGCGCGCGUAGGCGGUUUGGCAAGUCGGGUGUGAAAGCCCUCGGCUCAACCGAGGAACAGCACUUGAAACUGCCAGACUGGAGUUCGGGAGAGGGUAGCGGAAUUCCGGGUGUAGGGGUGAAAUCCGUAGAUAUCCGGAGGAACACCGGUGGCGAAGGCGGCUACCUGGACCGAUACUGACGCUGAGGUGCGAAAGCGUGGGGAGCAAACGGGAUUAGAUACCCCAGUAGUC